UUUUGCGCUUUUCAAUUUGUUUUUGCGCUUUUCAAUUUGUUGUGCGUUUUGUGAUUUGUUUUUGUGGUUUGCACUUCAGGGCCACCGUAGAAACCCCCCUGACUCAGCAGUUACACUUAUACCUUCACACCCCCACCUCCUGUCACCCGACUCUCAACCUUCAUGGAAAAGUACUGAAAUCCUCCCAGGGCCAGGCCACCCCGCUGGACACGCCACAGCACUAGCAGCAUAGACUAUGAGUUUUUUCUCAUGUCAGAAGCUCUGCCUCAAACUGAGUACAAAUGCUGAAUGUCAACCAGCUGUUAGUAACAUGUCUUGUAACGUGAUUUCUGAAAAUUUUCCCCGCAUGUCUUGCAGGUGCUAACAUAAUUUCAAAGGGCUGCCUAAACCAGUGCAUUAUGUGCUGGGCUUGCACAUAAUGGUCUUGCUGUGAAGGGAACCUGUGUAACAGCGCUACUCCAACAGGUCCCAGUUCUGGUCUUUCGAUUUUCAAAAAUGUGUGAGGCCGACAGUGUUGUCACUUUAGGGGGCGUGGUCAUAACCACCAGGUAGGAGGCUCUUUGAAGAAAUACAAAAGCUCAGGUUCUGAAAGCAAAUUAGAAAGUUGAGCCGAGAUUAGCAGCAGCUUUUUCUCUCAAGAAACUGAUCAGCAAUUUGAGUUCAUGAUGCAGCUUUAUGGAGCUCUGAUCCUGUGUGUGACUCUGUCUGCAGCAUGUGGAUUAAGAUGCUACACAUGCACAGUUGCCGAUCCUAAAUCCUGCACAGACACCACUGUUUGUGAUUUCAGCUUCAACCGUUGUUCCACUUUUAGAGUAGACGGUCUUACUGUAGUUUUAAAGGGCUGCCAAAACAGUGAAGCAUGUGUUGGGCCUAUGUCCUGCUGUGAAGGAGACCUGUGUAACAGCGCUAUUCCAACUGGUCCCAGUGCCAUCCUGCUGGUAUCUUCAGCCAUCCUCAAAUUUCUUUUCUGAGGUUGUGAAAUGAAGUUGUUUCCCUGCUGCACUUCAGAUUCUAUUUUGUAUCAGUAGGGAAGAAAUAAACAACUUUGAAGUGCCUGAUAUGAAAUAAAACUGUCAAUGCUAUUUUAAUUUGUCAUUUAGAGAAGUUCAGGGUUUGACAUCGCCAAAUACUGCAUUGCAAGUUUUUGCUUCUAUGCUGCACUUUUUUCUAAUUCUAUGAUUGGUGCAAUGAUAUGACAUAAAUUUUUCACCGACAUUCUGAUAAGUCAUUUCAAGUAAAUCAGGGUCUGUCCUGUUCAAAUAUUUUAUUUCUUGAAUAUUCACUUUUCCUAAAGCAAAUAAAAGU